rnacentral:rRNA from 1 species
AUGGCGGCCUCGUGCCACGACGUGGACGUGCCGGGGAAGCCGACGGAGACGGGGACGGCGCUGCUGGAGACGGCGACGGGGGCCAUCCAGGGGUUCGCCCCCAUCAACCAGAUCCACCAGCACCUUUGCGCCUUCCACUUCUACGGGGACGACAUGACGCGGCAGGUGGAGGCGCACCACUUCUGCGCGCACCUCAACGAGGACGUGCGACAGUGCCUCAUCUUCGACGGGCCGGAGGCCGGCGCGCGCCUCAUCGGCCUUGAGUACAUCGUCACCGAGGAGUUGUUCCUCACUCUGCCCGACGAGGAGAAGCCGCUGUGGCACACCCACGAGUUCGAGGUCAAGGGCGGCGUGCUCUUCAUGCCCGGCGUCCCCGGCGUCGUCGAGCGCCGGGACCUCGAGGUCGUCGCCAGGACCUACGGCAAGACCGUCCACUUCUGGCAGAUCAUGAUGGCGCUCACCCGUGAGGGCCAGCUCCGGCAGGAUCUCGCCGACUGUGUGGAGAAGAAGUUCAGCGUGUCGUUCCAGAAGGAGAGGGAGAACCGGGCGUACAUGAGCGGGCCGGCGCACGGCAUCCACCCGUUGGCCAAUGCGGCUGGGAAGGGCUUGAAGACGGAGAUCCGCGAGGUCGAUCUUCCGGCUGCGAAUACCGGAGCCAGGAUUUUCACCUGA